UCAGAAAUACUCAGCAGUGUUAGAGGAGCUGGAUUCACAGGGCAGUGGAGAUGCCGAGAGGAAUGAGCCUUUCAUUCUCGCUGCUCUGGAGUCCUGCUCUUCAGUUUCUUCAUCGGCAGAGUGAACA
ensembl:miRNA Mir6319-2 microRNA mir-6319-2